rnacentral:rRNA from 1 species
GGAGGCAGCAGUGGGGAAUUUUGGACAAUGGGCGCAAGCCUGAUCCAGCCAUGCCGCGUGAGUGAAGAAGGCCUUCGGGUUGUAAAGCUCUUUCGGCCGGGAAGAAAUCGCAUUGGUUAAUACCUGGUGGUGGAUGACGGGUACCGGAAUAAGAAGCACCGGCUAACUACGUGCCAGCAGCCGCGGUAAUACGUAGGGUGCGAGCGUUAAUCGGAAUUACUGGGCGUAAAGCGUGCGCAGGCGGUUUUGUAAGACAGGCGUGAAAUCCCCGGGCUCAACCUGGGAACUGCGCUUGUGACUGCAAGGCUAGAGUACGGCAGAGGGGGGUGGAAUUCCACGUGUAGCAGUGAAAUGCGUAGAGAUGUGGAGGAACACCAAUGGCGAAGGCAGCCCCCUGGGUCGAUACUGACGCUCAUGCACGAAAGCGUGGGUAGCAAACAGGAUUAGAUACCCUGGUAGUCCACGCCCUAAACGAUGUCAACUAGGUGUUGGGAGGGUAAAACUUUUUAGUACCGGAGCUAACGCGUGAAGUUGACCGCCUGGGGAGUACGGCCGCAAGGUUAAAACUCAAAGGAAUUGACGGGGACCCGCACAAGCGGUGGAUGAUGUGGAUUAAUUCGAUGCAACGCGAAAAACCUUACCUACCCUUGACAUGUCAGGAAGUCUUGAGAGAUUGAGAUGUGCCCGAAAGGGAACCUGAACACAGGUGCUGCAUGGCUGUCGUCAGCUCGUGUCGUGAGAUGUUGGGUUAAGUCCCGCAACGAGCGCAACCCUUGUCGUUAAUUGCCAUCAUUUAGUUGGGCACUUUAGCGAGACUGCCGGUGACAAACCGGAGGAAGGUGGGGAGGACGUCAAGUCCUCAUGGCCCUUAUGGGUAGGGCUUUCCCACACGCUCAUAACAAUGGUCGGUACAAAGGGUCCGCCAACCCGCGAGGGGGGAGCCAAUCCCAGAAAGCCGAUCGUAGUCCGGGAUUGCAGGCUGCAACUCGCCUGCAGGAAGUCGAAUCGCUAGUAAUCGUGGAUCAGCAGUACGGU